rnacentral:tRNA from 1 species
GGGCCUAUGGCCAAAUGGAUACGGCGCCUGACUACGAAUCAGGAGAUUCCAGGUUCGACCCCUGGUAGGCUCG